AGCUUGCUAGAUUGAUGGCGAGUGGCGAACGGGUGAGUAAUACAUCGGAACGUGCCCUGUAGUGGGGGAUAACUAGUCGAAAGAUUAGCUAAUACCGCAUACGACCUGAGGGUGAAAGUGGGGGACCGCAAGGCCUCAUGCUAUAGGAGCGGCCGAUGUCUGAUUAGCUAGUUGGUGAGGUAAAGGCUCACCAAGGCGACGAUCAGUAGCUGGUCUGAGAGGACGAUCAGCCACACUGGGACUGAGACACGGCCCAGACUCCUACGGGAGGCAGCAGUGGGGAAUUUUGGACAAUGGGGGCAACCCUGAUCCAGCAAUGCCGCGUGUGUGAAGAAGGCCUUCGGGUUGUAAAGCACUUUUGUCCGGAAAGAAAUCGCACUUACUAAUAUUAGGUGUGGAUGACGGUACCGGAAGAAUAAGGACCGGCUAACUACGUGCCAGCAGCCGCGGUAAUACGUAGGGUCCAAGCGUUAAUCGGAAUUACUGUGCGUAAAGCGUGCGCAGGCGGUUGUGCAAGACCGAUGUGAAAUCCCCGGGCUUAACCUGGGAAUUGCAUUGGUGACUGCACGGCUAGAGUGUGUCAGAGGGGGGUAGAAUUCCACGUGUAGCAGUGAAAUGCGUAGAGAUGUGGAGGAAUACCGAUGGCGAAGCAGCCCCCUGGGAUAACACUGACGCUCAUGCACGAAAGCGNNNGGGGAGCAAACAGGAUUAGAUACCNUGGUAGUCCACGCCCUAAACGAUGUCAACUAGUUGUUGGGGAUUCAUUUCCUUAGUAACGUAGCUAACGCGUGAAGUUGACCGCCUGGGGAGUACGGUCGCAAGAUUAAAACUCAAAGGAAUUGACGGGGACCCGCACAAGCGGUGGAUGAUGUGGAUUAAUUCGAUGCAACGCGAAAAACCUUACCUACCCUUGACAUGCCACUAACGAAGCAGAGAUGCAUUAGGUGCUCGAAAGAGAAAGUGGACACAGGUGCUGCAUGGCUGUCGUCAGCUCGUGUCGUGAGAUGUUGGGCUAAGUCCCGCAACGAGCGCAACCCUUGUCUCUAGUUGCUACGAAAGGGCACUCUAGAGAGACUGCCGGUGACAAACCGGAGGAAGGUGGGGAUGACGUCAAGUCCUCAUGGCCCUUAUGGGUAGGGCUUCACACGUCAUACAAUGGUGCAUACAGAGGGUUGCCAAGCCGCGAGGUGGAGCUAAUCCCAGAAAAUGCAUCGUAGUCCGGAUCGUAGUCUGCAACUCGACUACGUGAAGCUGGAAUCGCUAGUAAUCGCGGAUCAGCAUGCCGCGGUGAAUACGUUCCCGGGUCUUGUACACACCGCCCGUCACACCAUGGGAGUGGGUUUUGCCAGAAGUAGUUAGCCUAACCGCAAGGGGGGCGAUUACCACGGCAGGGCUCAUGACUGGGGUGAA
rnacentral:rRNA from 1 species